AUUUGUGUUUUUGUGGUUGAAUAAACAAGGAAAAAAAAAUAAAAAAAUCUGUUCUUAUCAGUUUAAUAUCUGAUAUGUCCUCUAUAUGGGGACUACAUAUUAAAUGGAUUUUUAGCCUCGGGAGCUGAAACAGGGGCUUGCUCCGUUCACUCCACGCAUCGACCCGGUAUUGCAGCGCCGCCGGGAACGGUGCACCCCUC
ensembl:snRNA U2 U2 spliceosomal RNA